rnacentral:misc_RNA from 1 species
AAAGUCGUAACAAGGUCUCCGUAGGUGAACCUGCGGAGGGAUCAUUCACAUGAUUUACUUUAUAUACAAACUGUGAACUUUAUUUUAUACUAUUCGUGUUUUUUUAACAUUGGUUACUCUCUGUUAGAAAAACAUUGUCAUUCGAUUGAACAUAAGAUAGUUGGCUUGAUUUUUGAUUUAUUCAAAAUUUCUUUCUCAGCUUUGAUUUGAUAUUACUAAACAUUUUAUCAAUCAACCAUAAAACAUAGAAACAACUCUAUGCCCUGGAUAUCUUGGUUCUC